rnacentral:rRNA from 1 species
AAAUGAAUAGACGGGGGCCCGCACAAGCAGUGGAGUAUGUGGUUUAAUUCGAAGCAACGCGAAGAACCUUACCAGGUCUUGACAUCGUAUGCAUAACUUAGAGAUAAGUGAAAUCCCUUCGGGGACAUAUAGACAGGUGGUGCAUGGUUGUCGUCAGCUCGUGUCGUGAGAUGUUGGGUUAAGUCCCGCAACGAGCGCAACCCUUACCUUUAGUUGCUACGCAAGAGCACUCUAAAGGGACUGCCGUUGACAAAACGGAGGAAGGUGGGGAUGACGUCAAAUCAUCAUGCCCCUUAUGACCUGGGCUACACACGUACUACAAUGGCAAUUAACAAAGAGAAGCAAGACAGCGAUGUGGAGCAAAUCUCGAAAAAUUGUCCCAGUUCAGAUUGCAGGCUGCAACUCGCCUGCAUGAAGUCGGAAUUGCUAGUAAUCGUGGAUCAGCAUGCCACGGUGAAUACGUUCCCGGGCCUUGUACACACCGCCCGU